UGGCGGACGGGUGAGUAACGCGUGGGUAACCUGCCUCAUACAGGGGGAUAACAGUUAGAAAUGACUGCUAAUACCGCAUAAGACCACGGCACCGCAUGGUGCAGGGGUAAAAACUCCGGUGGUAUGAGAUGGACCCGCGUCUGAUUAGGUAGUUGGUGGGGUAACGGCCUACCAAGCCGACGAUCAGUAGCCGACCUGAGAGGGUGACCGGCCACAUUGGGACUGAGACACGGCCCAA
rnacentral:rRNA from 1 species